rnacentral:rRNA from 1 species
AAAGGGUGCGUAGGAGGACAGGUAAGUCAGUGGUGAAAUCUCCGGGCUUAACUCGGAAACUGCCGUUGAUACUAUCUGUCUUGAAUACCGUGGAGGUGAGCGGAAUAUGUCAUGUAGCGGUGAAAUGCUUAGAUAUGACGUAGAACACCGAUUGCGAAGGCAGCUCACUACACGAAUAUUGACUCUGAGGCACGAAAGCGUGGGGAUCAAACAGGAUUAGAUACCCUGGUAGUCCACGCCCUAAACUAUGGAUACUCGACAUACGCGAUACACUGUGUGUGUCUGAGCGAAAGCAUUAAGUAUCCCACCUGGGAAGUACGACCGCAAGGUUG